GGUGGGCAUGGUGGCAAACACCUGUAGUCUCAGCUACUCAGGCACCUGAGACAGGAGGAUCGCUUGAGGCCAGGAGUUCUGGGCCGUAGUGUGCUAUGCCGUUCAGGUGUUCACACUAAGUUUGGCAUCAAUAUGGUGACCUCCUGGGAGCGGGGCACCACCAGAUUGGCUAAGGAAGGGUGAACUUGGCCCAGGUCAGAAAUGGAGCAGGUCAUAAAUAACUCCCAUGCUGAUCAGUAGAAGGAUUGUGCCUGUGAACACGCACUGCAUUCCAGCCUGGGCAACAUAGCGAGACCUCAUCUCUU
ensembl:misc_RNA Metazoa_SRP Metazoan signal recognition particle RNA